GACGAACGCUGGCGGCGUGCCUAAUACAUGCAAGUAGAACGCUGAAGGAGGAGCUUGCUUCUCUGGAUGAGUUGCGAACGGGUGAGUAACGCGUAGGUAACCUGCCUGGUAGUGGGGGAUAACUAUUGGAAACGAUAGCUAAUACCGCAUAAUAGCAGUUGUUGCAUGAUAACUGUUUGAAAGGUGCAAUUGCACCGCUACCAGAUGGACCUGCGUUGUAUUAGCUAGUUGGUGGGGUAACGGCUCACCAAGGCGACGAUACAUAGCCGACCUGAGAGGGGGAUCGGCCCCACUGGGACGGAGACACGGCCCAGACUCCUACGGGAGGGCGCAGUAGGGAAUCUUCGGCAAUGGGCGGAAGUCUGACCGAGCAACGCCGCGUGAGUGAAAAAGGUUUUCGGAUCGUAAAGCUCUGUUGUAAGGGAAGAACGAGUGUGGGAGUGGAAAGUCCCCCCGUUGCGGGUAUUUUCCCAAAAAGGGACGGCAAACAACGU
rnacentral:rRNA from 1 species